rnacentral:lncRNA from 1 species
CACCUCUCCUUGCCAUCCUAGUUAGCAACUAGCUCGUUUCUGCACGGUCAUUUUACUUUGCUAACCGAUCAGAAAAGUGUUUUGAUCCACACUCAGUAGGGUCCACAAGAUCCAUGUUCUCAUUGGCUGGUCUGCACACAACCUCGGGCGAGUCAAAACCUUAUCCCAUGGGUUCCACUAUGUCCGACCUUAAGUGUCCGGGUCGGGCGAAGCGGAACUGUGCAACAAGGGGUCGGGCGAGGCGGAGACCGGCCGCGAGGGGUCGGGCGCAUCCGACCUCAUGACCUGGGGUCGGCCAAAUUUUGGACAGACCCAAAGAACGGAAACCUGGUGUGCGGUCACAGCACAAACUCUCACACAACUUUGGCAUCCAAAGCGUGUCCCAAAAAGGGGUAAGAAGUCGAAUCAAGAGUGAGGGGAAAACAAGAAAUGAUGUCACCAGGAUCAUUUCCUUGUUGCUCAUUUAACACAAAAGAAGUACUCAACUAAAGUCUAACCUAUUACAUCACUACCCAAAAUUCGGGUUGCUGAGGAGUACAACAAAAGGUGAGCUUCCUACAGCCUUCAACCUAAAGUUAUCUAGGUUGCCUACUAAGGGAACACUAUGCGUCGGAGAAGGGGCGUCGCCAUCUUCAAUGUCCAUACUGGAGACUCCCUCUCCCUUCUC